CCUACGGGAGGCAGCAGGGGGGAAUAUUGCGCAAUGGGCGAAAGCCUGACGCAGCGACGCCGCGUGAGGGAUGAAGGUCUUCGGAUCGUAAACCUCUGUCAGCAGGGAAGAACGGUCACUGUGCUAAACAGCAGUGAAUUGACGGUACCUGCAAAGGAAGCACCGGCUAACUCCGUGCCAGCAGCCGCGGUAAUACGGAGGGUGCGAGCGUUAAUCGGAAUUACUGGGCGUAAAGCGCUCGUAGGCGGUAUGUCAAGUCAAGGGUGAAAUCCCCGCGCUCAACGUGGGAACUGCCUUUGAAACUGGCAACCUGGAGUGUGUGAGUGGCUAGUGGACUUCCAGGUGUAGGCGUGAACUCCGUAGAUAUCUGGAGGACCAUCAGUGGCGCAGGCGACUCUCUGGCACAUAACUGCCGCUGAGGAGCG
rnacentral:rRNA from 1 species